rnacentral:miRNA from 1 species
AGCAACUAACUACACUGCCACA